rnacentral:RNase_P_RNA from 1 species
UGAGUUGNCUAGACAAUCGCUGCUUUAUCGUAAGUAUUUAAUGUUUUCAUUAAAUAAACGGAUAAAGGGGAGGAAAGUCCGGGCUCCGAAGAGCAGAGUGCCAGAUAACGUCUGGGCGGCGCAAGCCGACGACAAGUGCAGCAGAGAGAAAACCGCCGAUGACCGUUCUUUUUAUUAAGCGCGGCACAGGUAAGGGUGAAAGGGUGCGGUAAGAGCGCACCGGAUUGCUGGUAACAGUAAUUGCAGGGUAAACUCCACUCGGAGCAAGACCAAAUAGGGUUCCAGUACUCUUUAUUGAGUUAAUGCGCGGCUCGCGUUGGAACCGGGUAGGUUGCUUGAGCCUUAGAGCGAUUUAAGGCCUAGACGAAUGAUUGUCACUUUU